AAUCAGCCAAAAUCUCUUGAGUAUUGGACAGAUGCUGGAAAAAGAUUAUGCUUUUGAAUUUAGAAAGCGGAAGUGCACAGUUUUUAAUCCUGUAGGAGAAAAAAUGUUCUCUGUAACAAUGAAAAAAAGGAGUUUCUUUAUCAAUUGGGAGGAAACUGAUAAGCAUGCAUUUACUAGCACCACCUUCAAUAAAUCAGACUUGUGGCACAAAAAGUUUGGGCAUUUCAAUCAAAGAAGUUUGUUGGAGAUGAAACAAAAAGAUUUAAUUCUGAAGCAACCAGAAUUAUGUGUGAUAAUAUCUCUGCUGUUUCGACGGCAAAGAAUCCUAUUUUUCAUAGGCGAACCAAGCACAUCAAGAUUAAGUUUCAUUUUAUUAGAGAAGUUCAACAAUCUAAUGAAGUAUUACUUGUUACCUGCUUAUCUGAAGAACAAUUAUCUGACAUUUUCACAAAAUCCUUACCAAAAGAAAGAUUUGAAGCUCUGAGGAAAAAUAUUGGUGUUUGUCAUCAAAAUGCCAUGGAGGAGUGUUGAAGUGCUGGCAUUCUGUUUCAUCAAAUAUUUUUCUGUUUUAUCAGUUUUCAAUAACACUGCUGGAGUUCCUAAUUUUCAGCCUUAGAAUCUCAGUUUAUUAUUUUGUGUUAUUUGGAUUCCAUUAUUUGAGGAGAAUCUGUUAUUUCAACUUGUAUAAAUUCUCAAUUACAUUGAAGUAAAAGAGAUCUUCUUCCUCUCAUAUUUUUUAAUCUUUUAAAUUUGUUUCUGUUGAAACUCUCAUUAUUUUAGCAGAUACAUUGUUUCAACAUUUCUAAGCUCAAAUGGGCAUAAUUCUCUUUCUAUUAAGGGUUUUGUAAAUCUAGAAUAGAGUAGACAAAAUUUAAAUUGAAAAUCUUAUGAGAAUAAAGCUUGUGUGAAGCUUUUGUUGAAUGGGUAUUCAAGCACCUCUCUUUGAGUAAGAGCGAGUCUUGUAAGUUUGAUUGUUCUUUGCAAAAACAAUCUAAGUUUCCUAGUUCUUUGUAAAAACUAGCGAGGUUAAGUUUAUCUAGUUUGACAAAACCUAGAAAUGCAAGAUGAUUUCUUAAGGAGUGGAUGUAGGUGUGAGAAAUGCCGAACCACUAUAAAAAUUGAUUGUGUUGUUUUCUCCUCUAUUAUUCUCUUGGUAGUUCAAUUUGAAUACAUUCACAUACUCACUUGAUAAUCUGAUAUAUUUGAUGAUUUAAUUCUGCUCUAGGUGUUGUAAUGUGGUUAUUUGAUUUCUGAGACUGUUUUGAAUAUAAACUGACUCACAGGAUUAGUGUUUCUCAGUUUCAGUGAGCCAAAAUCAAUGACAGGUUCAAUUUCGUGUUUCUAUUCUCUAUGAUAAAUCGGUUAAGUGUUUAAUUGAUUUGUUUAUGUUUAUUAUCUGAAUAUAGCUAGUAUAUUAUGUUGCUUCUACUGUGAUUUGAAAAAUCCUUGAAAAGGAUUAUUUUUUAAAGUACCAAUUCACCCCCCUGGAUAUUUGCUUAUUAGGACCUAUAGAAUCUCAGCCUGAAGAAGGAUCUAGUCAGCCUUGUCCGGUCAACAUUACGCAAAUAUAUUUGGAAGAAGUGGGUGGUGUGAAGAAGCAACGAAUUUGAAGUCUCAGCUCGCAGGCAUCAAUUUUAUAUAGGCAGUGUAGCGCUUCUAACUCAUCUGCGACAUCUCACAUUCAAGAACAAUGAAAUGAGGAUAUGACUUCUUGUAUUCAAGAAAUGGAGCAGCUUAUGAAGGAUAUGCAGGAGCAAAUGCAACAACAAGUCCAAGAGCAAGUAGAAUACUAGAUACAACUAUUCUAAAAUCAGCUCCACAAACUUAAAGAUCUACUUCGUAGCCAGUUAGCAUCUUUAGUUGGCAGCUUACCUACUGAACCUGCACAAUCCUAGAUCAGAACAGGAUAUGAUGAUGAUACUACUCUAUGUUGACUUAAGUGAAUCACACAUAAAUUACAUAUUUUUUUUAUUUAGAUUAAACUUUUAAUUUAUGAAAUGUUUAUAUUUAAUAUAUUUAUUAAAAGUUUGACUUCUAUACUUUAUUUUGCCUUUUUAAUACCAAGUUAAUAGAGAAUUAUAUAAAUAAAUUACAAAUUUAGUAAUGGAUUUAGCAACAAAUUAGUCGUGGAUAAUAAUAUAUUUAUUUUUAAAUUUAGCAAUAGAUUUUGCAAUGGAUUUUAAAAUAGCAAUGGUUUUAGCAACAUAUUAGACACGGAUUUUAACAAAAUUUUGAUAUAUUUAGCAACGGUUUUAGCAAGGGAUUAUAAACAACAAUGGCUUUAACAACAUGUUAGCUAGGCAUUUCAAUAAAAUUUCAAUAAAAUUAGCAAAAUGGAUUUAGCAAGAUAUUGAAGUAAGCACAACUUUAGCUAUAGAUCAACCACACAUUUAGUAACAGAAUUAGUAAGCGAUUUUCAUUAAUAACGCAUUAACAACUGAGUUAGCAACCGAUUUUCAUUUAGAAUUAUAUUUGGCUAAAAAUUUAGGCACGAAUUUAGCAUGCGAUUUCAUAUUAAAAACGGAAGUAGACAGAUUAGCAAUGAAAUUAGCAACAAAAUUAGACAAAAAUUAGCAACAAAUUAGAUACGCUUUGACAGCGAAAUUGAUACCCAAAUUGACAUAUUUUUAGCAACCAGUAUGAUUCAGAAUAGCAAGGGAAUUAUACCUGGCUAAUUUAGGAACAGUUUGCUUAUUGUGGCUAUUUAUUUAGAAAGACAAUAUUUAGAGAUGGAUGUGAUCCAUGGCUAAUCCGUUGGUUAAAUAAGAUUAGCAACAAAUUUCUCAAAUUAGCAACCAAUGUUCUGUUGCUAAAUGCAUUUUUUAAUGCUUGGUAAUAAUAAUAAUAAUAAUAAUAAUAAUAAUAAUAAUAAUAAUAAUAAUUUUUAAGAUUUUUUCCUUUUAAACAUAAAAUAUUAAUUUAAUAUGUAGUUUACAUGACUUUUGGACCAAUAAUUUCUAGAUUAUUUAACUAUAUAAGAAGUGUUUAAAUGAUCUAAUUUUAUAAAUUGGAAUGUUUAACAUAUUAAACAAAGUGUUUAAAUGGCUUAAUUUUAAAAAUUAAACUGUGGGUCAAUGUAAAAGUUAAUGCUCAUAAAAUUUUUUAUAAAAUUUUUUGUAAAAAAGUAUUGGAGAGAGUUUAUUCAUUGAGUUAUUUUUCACAAAAAGCACGUAGGUGAAUCACGUAGGGCCAAAAUAUAUUUAUUUAAAAUUGAUGAGGUUUGAGAAUAUAGGAAGGGUGGUGUGGCCUUAUGCGAAUUCAUUAUCGUGGCAAAUGAGAAGGAUGCAAGUGGGUCCCAAUUCACGAGAUACCUACCUGGAAAGCAUGUACAAGGCUGGGCCCACGAGGAGGUGCAUCUUUAGAAUUGGGCGGUUCCCAAAGCCGUUUCCAAAAUCAAACAAGGAAAAAGUAAAGCAAUGUAAUGGCAGCAGCUAAUUUUCAAAUCGCGUGGGACCAUAAGGUAUUGCAAAUGAUCAUACUUGGUGAUUGUAGGUCCCACUUCCGGCACCGGCCUAAAUACUUGUCCACUGCCACGUCAUCAUCUUAAAAGUGAAUUUGACGACAAUAGCCAAUAGUAAAGAGGUCUUCUUUAUUAUUGUGUGUACUAAAAGAGAAUCUUUUGCAUUUAUUUUCCUUUUGUUCAUUAGAAACUCACACUUUAUUUGGAGAGGAGAGGAAGAAAAAUAGUCGAUUAAGGAAAUAAUAGAAAAAAACAAAGAAAUAUUGAAAUGUUUUUUUGAUUUUGUUGUUUUCCGAUGAAAAGAGAAAAAAAAAAAAAGGGAAAGAAGAUAAAUUAUAUUUUGCAUCAAAUGACGUAAUUUUUUUAAUUCAUACAUUAUUAUCUACUUUAUUGUGGAAAGAAUUUAAUUUUGUAUUCCUAUAAAAGAAUUGUUUUUGAUAUUCUAUUAUUACCCCUUUCAUUAAUAUUUUUUCUCACGUAUUCUUUCCUCAAAAAAAUCUCCCUUUCCAAAUAUAAAUGUAAUAAAUUAAAUAAUAAUAUUAUAAGAUAUACAAUAUAAAAAUUAUAUAUUUUUUUAAAUAAUAUUAUAUAGGUUUUCUUGAUAACUUUAAUUAAAUGAAUUAAAAUUCCUAUGAUUGGAAAAAUUUAAAUUUGAGAUAUCUUAUUUAUUCACUCCAUUAAUCUACCGGUUUUAUUUUAUCAAGCAUGAUUUGUUUAUAUAAUAUAUGUUUAAAUUGAAUAUAAUAUAUAUUACCAUUUUAUAUAUUUUUAUAUAGUUAAUAUUAUAAUUUCAGUUAGUUAAUAUUUUUUAUAUAGUUAAUAUUAUAUUUGUAGCAUAUAGAUAUUAUUUAAAUAAUUUAUAUACAAUAAAUUAUUUAAUAUUAAUUUUUUUUAACUGGACUUUAAUAGCUAAUAAAAUAAAUGUCUGACAGGCAAGGUGGGAUUGAAUCCCAAACUUUGAAACGGUCAUAACUAAUAGAGGUUCUAGCAAGAUUAUGAGCAUCCUUGCCUUCUAAUCCAUCUAAUCCAAAAUUAUGUAAUAUUAAUAAAUAAGUAGAAAUACACUGCAAAUAUUAAUAGUUGAGUUUAUUUUGGUAAAAAUAACAUCAACCAAAUUGAAAAAUGGAAAUUAAAAAAUUUUAAGAUUAGGAUUUAAUUUCUAAAUAUUCAAAACAAAUAAAUUGAAUUAUAUAGGUUGAUAUUCGCUUUUUUGGUUUAAACUGAAUAAUGCUCGGUGGUACGGAUCUUGAUGCUCCCGAAUGAAAGUUAAGGUAUUUUAAGGAGAAUUACUAAUUUUUGUUAUUUCUUUUUCCACCAAAAUAUACAUAUAUGAUAUCCAACCAAGUAUGGUCUAGUGGAUUUGAAGGUAUCAAGUUGAAGUCUCUCGAUCAAAAAAGUUUUCAUCAAUUUGAUGAGUCAAUGAAAAAACUAUUUUAUAAAUUAAAAUUAAAUUCUCGAUGCACUUAUUCAUAUCUAUUGUUAACAAUAAAAUUUUGAAAUCUUAAGGAUGAAUGUAGUAGGGUGAACAUUUGGCCAAUGCACUUAUUCAUAUCUAUCGUUAACAAUAAAAUUUUGAAAUCUUAAGAAUGAAUGUAUUAGGGUGAAGAUUUGGUCAAUUUGAAUAACAUUUUUAAUUGAAGUAAAUUAAUUGAAUGUUUUUUUUACUUAACUAAAUUUGACCGAACUUAACUGAAUCGUUUUGGCCAGAUUAGUUUUGAUAAUUAACACACCGAAAUUAAAGAGAAUGAAAAUUUAAUUAACUGACUGAAUUUAACAGAAAUUUGUGAUUAACCGACUUUAAAUAAAAUAAAAAUUAACCGAACUUACUAAUCACUACUUAAUCAAAAUAAAAAUCAAAAUAUUUUUAAUUUUUAAUUGUUAAUUUUAUUAUCUAUGCAGAAUCGGUUUAUUUGAUUAAUUCGGUUUGAUUAACUUUUAACCGAUCAAUGGAACUUUAAAAUUUUUACACCGAACUUUUAGCUGAACACUUCUUCAUCAUAUCAAAUUGUUGGAAUUAAUCGAAUUGGCCGAAUUGAACCAAGCGAAUGCUCACCUAUGAAUGUCCCAUUUCGACUUAGUAUUAUUAAUUAAAUUAAAUCAUAAAUAAAACUUUUAUGCUGAAUAAUACUUCACAUUUUGGAGGAAAAAAAGAAAAAAAAAAAUACAAGUACAACUAGGCAUGUAUUCUAAUGUCUGAGUACAGUCAGUGACACAUGCAAGAUUCUUCAUAGUGUCACCCCCCCUUCCCAUUCUUUUAUUAAGCUUAUGCAUUUCACAUCUCUAUAAAUAGCUCUCUCAUUGAUCAUCUCUUCACUUCACUCCCAAGCAUUAAUUAGUUCUUUCUCCUUAACCUCAUAUAUUUUCAUUCAUUCUAUAUCUCCUUAUUUGCUUUCCAUAUGGCCAGUGUUGAGGUAACACUGUCGAGCUAUUUGCUUCUUUAAUUUCUUCUUCUUCAUUAAUUCUCCUAUAUAUGAUUAUCAUAUUGAUCUAGUGAUAUCUUUUCUUGUGGGUUAUUAAUGUUUUUCUUCUUCUCUUCAUUAACUACUAAUAAAUCAACCCACAUUUGUUAAUGAUCAAAUUAGAUUCUAUUAUUAUUAUUAUUAUGAUCGUUUCUCAGCUUUAUAGUUUUAUUAUAUUGUUCUUGUUUAUAUAGUUUCUUAAAAAAACUUUAAUUUCGCUCCGAUCGUGGGAUAGAACUCCGGCAUCUUAGCCCUGUAGAUGACCCUAGUACCACUGAGCUAGCCAAAGCUCAUUUAAAUAUUUGAUGAUUCAAGAUAAAAUGAAUCAGAUACAUUCUUCGACCUUUUUUUAUCCAUUUUUAUUGUUAUAUUUGCCAAGAAAUUAAGAAAAAAGUAAAUCAAAUAUGGUUGUUGCAGGUUCAAUCAGCUAAAACAGCAUUGCCAGAGAAUGAGACGCAAGAAGUGACCAAGACUGAGGAGACAACCACUGAACCUGCUGCACCAUCCGCACCAGAACCAGUAGCAGAACUACCGAAGGAAGUAGUCGCAGAGGAACCAGCGGCCAAAGAACCAGAGGUUGAAACCAAGAAAGAAGAAGAAGAGAAGAAAGAGGAACCAGAGGCAAAAGCUGAGGAUCAGCCUGAGGCUGCACCAGCAGCAGAAGAGACUCCAGAUGUGAAGCCAGCAGAGCCUGUCACUGAGGAGGAGGCCAAAGAUGAGAGUACUGAGAAAGUGACAGAGGCGCCACCAGCAGCAGACGAAGAGAAACCAGCUACGGAAGAGAAGCCAGUUGAAAAAGAGGAGGAAGCAAGCAACACAGAGGUUCCAGUGGAGAAGACUGAAGAAU
rnacentral:lncRNA from 1 species